UACAAGGGCUGUGCCAUUCAAAGAACACGCCUGAGCCUCUGGCUUCCUCCAAAUAAUGAGGCCGUUGUUACGCAAGGGCCUGGGUUAAAUUGCCCCCAAACGGGGACUGGGAUGCGCUUACUGCUGCGCUGCCGCUUGGUCAGCCGGCGUCCGGGAUGGGAGCGCUCCUGCAUUUUCCAUGACUGCGGGGCCUGUUCCUUGCGCCUGUCUGGUCGCGUCACAUCAUGGAGGGUUUCUCGGGGCGGCCGGCCGACUCUGAGCACAGCCGGGGUGGUGUUUGCAGCACAGCUGCUGCCUAGGCCUUGCUGCGGAGGAUCUUGAAAAUGUGAGUUGGACUGCGUCAUCCCCGCCCCUGCCUCAAAGCCCCUCCGUGGUUGCCUACAGCACAGCUUCAAGCUCCUUGGUUCUGCUUCCCGGACCUGCAGCGCUGGCCCCAGCCUGGCCGAGAGAGCGUUUGUUCACCCAAGACCUUUCUCCUCCUGCCCUCGUGGAGCCUCCACACGGAGUAAACAACGACUUCUCUGAGCCUUGAUCGCUCUGUUUGUAACAUGCAGAGAAAACGCCUUCCUAGCUGAGCAGUAGGAUUGGGGGCCGCCGCCUGCUCAGCCCGGGCCUGGGUGCAGGCACAGGAAGUGUCUUUCUUCUGCUCUGUGAGCCCAUCUUCUCAAGGGUGGGUCCAUGCUUUCUCCAUUUCAGCGUCCCUCACAGCAUCAACUCUAUGCCUUGCAGACAGCGGACACGUAAUACAGCCAUGCAGCGUGAACCUGA
rnacentral:lncRNA from 1 species